ACUCCUACGGGAGGCAGCAGUGGGGAAGUCUUGGACAAUGGGCGCAAGCCUGAUCCAGCCAUGCCGCGUGAGUGAUGAAGGCCCUAGGGUCGUAAAGCUCUUUCGCCAGGGAUGAUAAUGACAGUACCUGGUAAAGAAACCCCGGCUAACUCCGUGCCAGCAGCCGCGGUAAUACGGAGGGGUUAGCGUUGUUCGGAAUUACUGGGCGUAAAGCGCGCGUAGGCGGAUUAGUCAGUCAGAGGUGAAAUCCCGGGGCUCAACCCCGGAACUGCCUUUGAUACUGCUAGUCUUGAGUUCGAGAGAGGUGAGUGGAAUUCCGAGUGUAGAGGUGAAAUUCGUAGAUAUUCGGAGGAACACCAGUGGCGAAGGCGGCUCACUGGCUCGAUACUGACGCUGAGGUGCGAAAGUGUGGGGAGCAAACAGGAUUAGAUACCCUGGUAGGAUAGCG
rnacentral:rRNA from 1 species